rnacentral:rRNA from 1 species
AUGGCCGCCGCCGACCCAGUCCGCGACGGGCAGACGGCCCUCGCGCUCCGCCUCGUCAAGCACCUCGCGGCCGCGGACGCGGACGCCGCCGCUAAGAACGUCGCGUUCUCGCCCGUAUCCAUCCACGCUGGCCUCGCGCUGGUGGCCGCGGGUGCGGGCGGCGCCACGCGGGCCCAGCUGCUCAGCUUCCUCGGCGCGCCGACGGCGGACGGCCUCGCUGCCUUCGGUCGCCUCGUCGCCGACCGCGUCCUGGCCGACAAGGCGGGCUCUGGCGGGCCGCGCGUGCUCUUCGGCGGCGGCGUCUGGAUCGACGCCUCGCGCGGCGGGCUCAAUGAGGCGUUCAAGGAGGUCGCCGCCAAGUCCUACAAGUCCGAGACCCGCACCGUCAGCUUCAUCGAUGAGCCGGAGGAAGCAGUGGAGACGAUCAACCGCUGGGUGAAGAAGGCGACCAACAACCUCAUCGACUCCAUGAUCUCACGCAGCGACAUCACCGCCGACGCCAACCUCGUGCUCGCCAACGCGGUCUACUUCAAGGGCAGCUGGCUCAAUCCCUUCAACGUUUGCCACACGUCAUCGGGCAAAUUCCACCGGCUUGAUGGGAGCCACGUCGAGGCAGCGUUCAUGUACGAGCUCAAGACCAUGUCCAUCUCGUGCAUAGACGUUCCUACUCACUAUGAAGGUAGUAACAUAGUCUAG